GUAAAAAGUAGAAUAAUAGAUUUGAAAUAUUUAUUAUAUAGAUUUAAAGAGAUAAUCAUGGAGUAUAAUAAUUAAAUUUAAUAAAUUUAAUAUAACUAUUAAUAGAAUUAGGUUACUAAUAAAUUAAUAACAAUUAAUUUUAAAACCUAAAGGUAAACCUUUAUAUUAAUAAUGUUAUUUUUUAUUAUUUUUAUAAUAAGAAUAAUUAUUAAUAAUAAUAAACUAAGUGAACUGAAACAUCUAAGUAACUUAAGGAUAAUAAAUCAACAGAGAUAUUAUGAGUAUUGGUGAGAGAAAAUAAUAAAGGUCUAAUAAGUAUUAUGUGAAAAAAAUGUAAGAAAAUAGGAUAACAAAUUCUAAGACUAAAUACUAUUAAUAAGUAUAGUAAGUACCGUAAGGGAAAGUAUGAAAAUGAUUAUUUUAUAAGCAAUCAUGAAUAUAUUAUAUUAUAUUAAUGAUGUACCUUUUGUAUAAUGGGUCAGCAAGUAAUUAAUAUUAGUAAAACAAUAAGUUAUAAAUAAAUAGAAUAAUAUAUAUAUAUAAAAAAAUAUAUUAAAAUAUUUAAUUAAUAUUAAUUGACCCGAAAGCAAACGAUCUAACUAUGAUAAGAUGGAUAAACGAUCGAACAGGUUGAUGUUGCAAUAUCAUCUGAUUAAUUGUGGUUAGUAGUGAAAGACAAAUCUGGUUUGCAGAUAGCUGGUUUUCUAUGAAAUAUAUGUAAGUAUAGCCUUUAUAAAUAAUAAUUAUUAUAUAAUAUUAUAUAAAUAUUAUAUAAAGAAUGGUACAGCAAUUAAUAUAUAUUAGGGAACUAUUAAAGUUUUAUUAAUAAUAUUAAAUCUCGAAAUAUUUAAUUAUAUAUAAUAAAGAGUCAGAUUAUGUGCGAUAAGGUAAAUAAUCUAAAGGGAAACAGCCCAGAUUAAGAUAUAAAGUUCCUAAUAAAUAAUAAGUGAAAUAAAUAUUAAAAUAUUAUAAUAUAAUCAGUUAAUGGGUUUGACAAUAACCAUUUUUUAAUGAACAUGUAACAAUGCACUGAUUUAUAAUAAAUAAAAAAAAUAAUAUUUAAAAUCAAAUAUAUAUAUAUUUGUUAAUAGAUAAUAUACGGAUCUUAAUAAUAAGAAUUAUUUAAUUCCUAAUAUGGAAUAUUAUAUUUUUAUAAUAAUAAUAAAAAUAUAAAUACUGAAUAUCUAAAUAUUAUUAUUACUUUUUUUUUUAAUAAUAAUAAUAUGGUAAUAGAACAUUUAAUGAUAAUAUAUAUUAGUUAUUAAUUAAUAUAUGUAUUAAUUAAAUAGAGAAUGCUGACAUGAGUAACGAAAAAAAGGUAUAAACCUUUUCACCUAAAACAUAAGGUUUAACUAUAAAAGUACGGCCCCUAAUUAAAUUAUAUAAGAAUAUAAAUAUAUUUAAGAUGGGAUAAUCUAUAUUAAUAAAAAUUUAUCUUAAAAUAUAUAUAUUAUUAAUAAUUAUAUUAAUUAAUUAAUAAUAUAUAUAAUUAUAUUAUAUAUUAUAUUUUUAUAUAUAAUAUAUAUAAUAUAAACUAAUAAAGAUCAGGAAAUAAUUAAUGUAUACCGUAAUGUAGACCGACUCAGGUAUGUAAGUAGAGAAUAUGAAGGUGAAUUAGAUAAUUAAAGGGAAGGAACUCGGCAAAGAUAGCUCAUAAGUUAGUCAAUAAAGAGUAAUAAGAACAAAGUUGUACAACUGUUUACUAAAAACACCGCACUUUGCAGAAACGAUAAGUUUAAGUAUAAGGUGUGAACUCUGCUCCAUGCUUAAUAUAUAAAUAAAAUUAUUUAACGAUAAUUUUAUUAAAUUUAGGUAAAUAGCAGCCUUAUUAUGAGGGUUAUAAUGUAGCGAAAUUCCUUGGCCUAUAAUUGAGGUCCCGCAUGAAUGACGUAAUGAUACAACAACUGUCUCCCCUUUAAGCUAAGUGAAAUUGAAAUCGUAGUGAAGAUGCUAUGUACCUUCAGCAAGACGGAAAGACCCUAUGCAGCUUUACUGUAAUUAGAUAGAUCGAAUUAUUGUUUAUUAUAUUCAGCAUAUUAAGUAAUCCUAUUAUUAGGUAAUCGUUUAGAUAUUAAUGAGAUACUUAUUAUAAUAUAAUGAUAAUUCUAAUCUUAUAAAUAAUUAUUAUUAUUAUUAUUAAUAAUAAUAAUAUGCUUUCAAGCAUAGUGAUAAAACAUAUUUAUAUGAUAAUCACUUUACUUAAUAGAUAUAAUUCUUAAGUAAUAUAUAAUAUAUAUUAUAUAUAUAUUAUAUAUAAUAUAAGAGACAAUCUCUAAUUGGUAGUUUUGAUGGGGCGUCAUUAUCAGCAAAAGUAUCUGAAUAAGUCCAUAAAUAAAUAUAUAAAAUUAUUGAAUAAAAAAAUAAUAUAUAUUAUAUAUAUUAAUUAUAAAUUGAAAUAUGUUUAUAUAAAUUUAUAUUUAUUGAAUAUAUUUUAGUAAUAGAUAAAAAUAUGUACAGUAAAAUUGUAAGGAAAACAAUAAUAACUUUCUCCUCUCUCGGUGGGGGUUCACACCUAUUUUUAAUAGGUGUGAACCCCUCUUCGGGGUUCCGGUUCCCUUUCGGGUCCCGGAACUUAAAUAAAAAUGGAAAGAAUUAAAUUAAUAUAAUGGUAUAACUGUGCGAUAAUUGUAACACAAACGAGUGAAACAAGUACGUAAGUAUGGCAUAAUGAACAAAUAACACUGAUUGUAAAGGUUAUUGAUAACGAAUAAAAGUUACGCUAGGGAUAACAGGGUAAUAUAACGAAAGAGUAGAUAUUGUAAGUUAUGUUUGCCACCUCGAUGUCGACUCAACAUUUCCUCUUGGUUGUAAAAGCUAAGAAGGGUUUGACUGUUCGUCAAUUAAAAUGUUACGUGAGUUGGGUUAAAUACGAUGUGAAUCAGUAUGGUUCCUAUCUGCUGAAGGAAAUAUUAUCAAAUUAAAUCUCAUUAUUAGUACGCAAGGACCAUAAUGAAUCAACCCAUGGUGUAUCUAUUGAUAAUAAUAUAAUAUAUUUAAUAAAAAUAAUACUUUAUUAAUAUAUUAUCUAUAUUAGUUUAUAUUUUAAUUAUAUAUUAUCAUAGUAGAUAAGCUAAGUUGAUAAUAAAUAAAUAUUGAAUACAUAUUAAAUAUGAAGUUGUUUUAAUAAGAUAAUUAAUCUGAUAAUUUUAUACUAAAAUUAAUAAUUAUAGGUUUUAUAUAUUAUUUAUAAAUAUAAUAUAAUAAUUAUUAUUAUUAAUAAAAAAAAUAUUAAUUAUAAUAUUAAUAAAAUACUAAUUUAUCAGUUAUCUAUAUAAUAUCUAAUCUAUUAUUCUAUAUACU
rnacentral:rRNA from 1 species